AGCGAACGCUGGCGGCAGGCUUAACACAUGCAAGUCGAGCGGGCCCUCCGUGGUCAGCGGCGGACGGGUGAGGAACGCGGGGGAACGUGCCGUCUGGUCUGGAAUAACCCUGGGAAACUAGGGCUAAUACCGGAUACGCUCUGUUGGUGAAAGGUUUACUGACGGAAGAUCGGCACGCGUCCGUUUAGCCUGUCGGUGGUGUAACGGCCUAUCAAGGCUUGGCUCAGUAGCUGGGCUGAGAGGCUGAGCAGCCACACUGGGACUGAGACACGGUCCAGAAUCCUAGGGGAGGCAGGAGAGGGGAAUAUAGGAAAAUGGGGGCAAGGAUGAUCCAGCCAGGCCUGGUGAGUGAUGAAGGCCUUAGGGUAGUAAAGCUCUUUUAUACGGGACGAUAAUGACGGUACCGAAGGAAUAAGCCCCGGCUAACUUCGUG
rnacentral:rRNA from 1 species